ACCAAUUAUAUUUAGAUCCUCAAAGAUUUAGAUAAUAUUGAGGCAUGUGAGCUCACCACAAAAACCAAGAAACUCCCCCCUUUUUCUCCUUCAAAUUUUCGGUCCCUCACACUUUCUCUUUUUCUCCUCUAUUUUAGCUAAGGAAAAUGCUUCCAAGACUUCAUCUUUUCACACCCAAAAGCUAAGAAGUGCCUCAAGCCUUUCCAAGCUUCAAAGUUCAAGCAUCAAGUAGGAAAAGCUUCAAGGAAUCCUAAGCAUCAUCAACUCCAUUAUCCAUUGAUUUCUUGGAGUAAGCUUCUAGUCUUCUUUUUGUGCAUGUAUAGAUAUAAUAUGAGUUAUGCAUGUGUGUUUUGAAGCAUGAAAAAAUUCUUCCCCUCAUAUUCAUGCAAUUUUCGGAAAAAAUGGCCCUUGAGGAAGCAAGAAAAUUUUCAAGUUACUCUUCAACCUAUGAGUUUUAUAUUUUUUUCCUUUUUUUUUUUUUUGUAUUCAAAGAAGAAAAAAAAAUUCAUUAAAGAUGAAGUUAGGCAUCAGAAAUGCCCAAAAGCUUAGUGACAAAGCAAACUCGAUAACUCGCUAGAACACCAGGAUGAAAAGGAAUCCUUCCAGUCUAUCGUUUCAAAGAUAGUGUUCCAACUCCACAUUCUUGUUUUUAUUUCUAAACUUGUACUUUUGAUCUCCCAUACCUUUCCGUCAAAACAACUCUCAUUACUUCGUCUCCACAGCACCCAAAUCGUGCAGCUCCAUAAAGCCUUCAGAAACCGGUGACUUUUCUUUCCAUGUCCCAUGAGUUUUAUAUCUCUAUAUGAUUAGAUGCAUUUAAGUUGAAUAUGAGCUCUUGAACACCUAUAUUUUGGCUACAUGUUAUGAUAUGUGAUGCAUGAUGAGUUUUAGUAUGAGAAGUGUGUGGUUGGAGUGAAUGAUAGAUUUAUGAUGAGAUAUGUGAAGUAGGCUUUGAAAGUUGAAAGUUUUGGUUUUCACCAUUUGAGAGUUUUAAAAUAGCUACUGACCUACUGAUUCGACGGGGUUUUUGUUACUCAAAAAUCUUGAAAAUUUUAUGAUGCGUAGAUAGGAGUGUCGUGAACAUGCAUGUAAAAUAUCAAGUCAUUUGGACUUCAUUUACUACCUUUUUAAAAUACAAAACUCCUACUUCCAGUUUCUGCCAAAAUUUUCGGAAGGCAGACCCUUGAGUCAUCAUUUUCUGUUCCUUUCUACCACUCUAUGCUUAUAAACUUUUUAGGGUGGGAAGAUACAUGUGUCGGGUAUCUACAUACCAAAAUUCAGGCAAUUUUUAGCAAUGUUUACUAUUUUUCUAAAAAUCAAAACUUCCAAUUGCCCGAAUCUGGUAGACGGUGGGAAAAUGGCCAUAUCUUUUGAACCACUUGGAAUUUUUUAGCCUACUUUUUUUUAAAAGCAACUAGACUUAGAGAUCUUUCCAGUGAUAUAAAUUUCGAACCCAGAAGAGUUCUGAGUGAAAGCAGUUUAUUCUCCAAAGUUGAGUCAGUGCAGAGGUAGUGAGUGUGGUUGUUCCAGAUUUUGUACUUGUGUCAUUCAUAUGUAGUUUUAUUAAUGUGUGAAUGACUUAUGUGGACUAUUUGAGUGCUAUUCACCUAUAGAAUUGAGAGCCUUAUAGUUGGGCAAAGAUGUCCCCUACUUGAGAAGUCCACUUGGGUAAUUAGUAAAAGGGUUAUAAGAUAAGGUUGCAGCUUAUGAUAAGGGUAUAGUGUGGAGAUUGAGUUAGAUUGGUUUUUAACUAUAAUUCAUUUUGUCACAUGGAAACCUCAACGACGCCAAUCACUAAAGGUAUGAGUGACAACCGACGUUAGAACGACGCCGAGCUCUACUUCACCGACACCGAAGACAAGUGGGUUUACUUUCAUAUAUAUAUCAAAUGAUUUAAAUGUUACAUUUGAGCAAGUUAUUUCAUUGCAAAAUCUUUGAAUUGAAAAUUAUUUCUAACUAUUUUCUUGUCCAUAAAUGUUUCAAUUUAGUAUGAUAUCUAUCUGCAAUUAUGUAAUCGAUUACGGGUCUUGAUCAGUUGAUAGCUAUCCUGUUAGGCUAGUGUACACCAGUGACCGUGAGUCAUCAAGCGGGUUGGCCGGUCAAGUGUCCGUGAGAGGUGGCCACCUCUUCGGCACAGAGCUUAAGAUAUAAUAGAUUAUAAGAGAAUUUAAACUGCAGUCGAACUUAAGAAUCACAAAUGAUUUUCAUUAGGCUUGGGCUCCUUGAACGAAAAAUUCCUUGGUGUACUGUUUAUGAUGGCUUGACAAUUUACAGUCUUAUGAAGCAUGUAUCUAUAUACUUUGGCGUACGCGCCCACUGGGUACUUUUGUUCUCAGCCCUGCAUAUAUUUCUAAAUGUGCAGGUUGAGCAGCUGACGGUGGUGAUGAAGUGAUGAGCGAGAUCUCUUUUGUCUUAGUUUAUGUAUUAAUGAACUCUGAGGAUACAUGUCUUCAUAUAUGUAAUCAGAACCUUUAUUCCGCUAUGUACUCAGAAGUCUUAUGAUAUUUUGGCUAAGUCGGAGUUAUCCGAACUUACUAGUUAUUUGGGUCAUGUGACCAAACAUCUGUUAUAUUAAAAGUUUCCCCUUCGUUAACAGUAUUUAAAUAUGAUUUUCCAUUAUUUAUUUACCCCAUUUUUAUCCCCGCUUCUAACCUCUCUCCCUUAGUCACGGUUUC
rnacentral:lncRNA from 1 species